GCCUGGGUGGCUCAGUUGGUUAAGCAUCUGACUUCAGCUCAGGUGAUGAUCUCCCAGUUCAUGAGUUCAAGUCCCAUGUCAGGCU
rnacentral:tRNA from 1 species